CAUCCUUUCCUUUCCUUUCCUGUAAUAUUAGCACACUCACAACAGACCUGCUUGAAAUUUCUCCGGACACCGGUUAUAAUCUCAGCCCUUUCCCAAAGCCCACGAUCUCUCACCUAAUUUAGCUUCACAUUAUUAUUUUCCAUCUCUCCUCUCCUUCUCUCUCUCUUUUCUUCUACAAAAUUUAUUCAUAAAUCAUACUCACGUCGGGACGGGACAUUUCUCGGCCAAUUUGUUGGUUGAGAUGAAGAUGGUUUUGGAAACGAUGAUUUGCUGUUGAAGAAGUGCAGUGUAUUCGGCUUCUUUCUUGUUCUUUUGGUUAUCGCUUGUUGGAAAUGGGCUGUUUUCAUUCUAAAGUUGCUAGACAGCCCCCUGGACAUGAAGACCCUGUAGUUCUCGCCUCACAAACUGCUUUUAGUGUCAGUGAAGUUGAAGCGCUUUUCGAACUAUUCAAGAUGAUCAGCAGUUCUGUGGUUGACGAUGGGUUAAUAAGCAAGGAAGAAUUUCAGUUGGCUCUCUUCAAGAACCGAAAGAAAGAGAAUCUCUUCGCCAACAGGAUCUUUGAUCUGUUUGAUGUCAAGCACAAGGGAGUCAUCGAUUUUGGUGACUUUGUUAGAUCCCUCAAUGUAUUUCAUCCAAAUGCUCCUCAAGAAGACAAGAUCAAUUUUGCAUUCAAGCUUUAUGAUCUUGAUAGUACUGGAUUUAUUGAGCGCCAAGAGGUCAAGCAAAUGCUGAUUGCACUUCUGUGUGAAUCUGAAAUGAAAUUGGCUGAUGAAACCAUUGAGAUCAUACUUGAUAAGACUUUCAUGGAAGCUGAUGUGGACCAGGAUGGCAAAAUAGAUAAAUCUGAAUGGCAAAAUUUCGUUUCCAAAAACCCAUCAUUGUUAAAGAUCAUGACCCUUCCGUAUUUGAGGUAAGUAAUCGUGUAGGUUGUGUGUAAUCUUUUGUUUUAGUAAUCUCAGUGAAAACCCAUCAUUGUUAAAGAUCAUGACCCUUCCGUAUUUGAGGGAUAUUACAACGACUUUUCCAAGUUUUGUUUUUAAUUCAGAAGUUGAUGAGAUUGCUACGUAAUUGAAACAGGAAUUAGCAUAGAAAAUUUGUGUGUUAUCCUCCUGUAUUUGAUUUUUGAAAUUGAAGGGAACAGUGCUUUGAUGCGUGACUGAGUACAUACUUAGUUGAGUACUCAGUUAAAAUUUGAAGCUUUGUGAUGGAAGCAAUAUAUUAUUUGUGUAGUUAUUUCCCAAAUGUUAAAAGGUGUAGGUUUAGAUUGAUUUGAUUAUUUUCUUUUUUCUUCGUUUAUUUCUGGUGCAUUAAUUUGAAAUACGAAGUGAUUCAAAGGAUGUUGUAUAAAAUGUAGAUGUGUGUCAUCCCAUAAAUAGUAUUCAUUUAGUACACUCUUUGACACAGUUAUUUUCAGCCCAAUUUGUAC